ACGAACGCUGGCGGCGUGCUUAACACAUGCAAGUCGAACGGAAAGGCCCUGCUUUUGUGGGGUGCUCGAGUGGCGAACGGGUGAGUAACACGUGAGUAACCUGCCCUUGACGUUGGGAUAACUUCAGGAAACUGGGGCUAAUACCGGAUAGGAGCUCCUGCUGCAUGGUGGGGGUUGGAAAGUUUCGGCGGUUGGGGAUGGACUCGCGGCUUAUCAGCUUGUUGGUGGGGUAGUGGCUUACCAAGGCUUUGACGGGUAGCCGGCCUGAGAGGGUGACCGGCCACAUUGGGACUGAGAUACGGCCCAGACUCCUACGGGAGGCAGCAGUGGGGAAUAUUGCACAAUGGGCGGAAGCCUGAUGCAGCAACGCCGUGUGCGGGAUGACGGCCUUCGGGUUGUAAACCGCUUUCGCCUGUGACGAAGCGUGAGUGACGGUAAUGGGUAAAGAAGCACCGGCUAACUACGUG
rnacentral:rRNA from 1 species